rnacentral:ncRNA from 1 species
ACAGGAAAAUACUAAACCAUCCGCGAGGGUGGGACGGAAAGCUCAUUGGGUCUCCACGAGACAGCCGGGUUGCCGAA